CAGUCGCCGCGGUAAUACAGAGGGUGCGAGCGUUAAUCGGAUUUACUGGGCGUAAAGCGUGCGUAGGCGGCUUCUUAAGUCGGAUGUGAAAUCCCUGAGCUUAACUUAGGAAUUGCAUUCGAUACUGGGAAGCUAGAGUAUGGGAGAGGAUCGUAGAAUUCCAGGUGUAGCGGUGAAAUGCGUAGAGAUCUGGAGGAAUACCGAUGGCGAAGGCAGCCAUCUGGCCUAAUACUGACGCUGAGGUACGAAAGCAUGGGGAGCAAACAGGAUUAGAUACCCGCGUAGUCCCUGUCUCUUAUAC
rnacentral:rRNA from 1 species